GGCACCAAAAUCCUUUUGCUUCGUCAAAUCUGAAAAGAACACUGAUAUUUAGAAGAUAUGGCCACAUACCCAAUUAGUAGCUGCAGAAACUUAAUAGCUCCACAGUCUUGGCAGAUCUAUCAUGUGCAGUUACUGACUGCCAAAGCAGCAAUCUCAAGAGACUAAUGGGCAUUGCAAGACUGCUGGAAUACAGACUGUCUGAGGAUAACUGCAGUAUCAGAAAGAAAUUGAAAAAAUAUUUUCUGAAUCAUAAUGUCUUAGUUUAUGAAUGUCUUGGGAAUUUUGAGACAGAAACGGUCUGCAGUGUAUAUUAACUGACCUUUUGCUAAGUUAAACCUCUGCAGGUUAAGACUUUACAACAUGGAAGCUAACAAGUGGCAGAGUCUAAGAGCUUCUCUUUAAAGCUAUGAAACCACAGCAAGUGGAUGAACACCAGCUGGGCCUGUAGGGGAUCCCAGGGCUGCAGGCCUAGAUGAAAGGAAGGGAGCGCUGAUACUGCUGUUCUUCCUGAACCUCUCAAGCCUGUGGAGCUGUCUGAGAGAUCACAGUAUCAUCUUGUGGUCAUUUACAUUUACAAAUACAGUAAAGUGCAAAACUGAA